CCUGCGGGAGGCAGCAGUGGGGAAUAUUGCGCAAUGGGCGAAAGCCUGACGCAGCGACGCCGCGUGGGGGAUGACGGCCUUCGGGUUGUAAACCUCUUUUACCACCAACGCAGGCUUCCAGUUCUCUGGAGGUUGACGGUAGGUGGGGAAUAAGGACCGGCUAACUACGUGCCAGCAGCCGCGGUAAUACGUAGGGUCCGAGCGUUGUCCGGAAUUAUUGGGCGUAAAGAGCUCGUAGGCGGCGUGUCGCGUCUGCUGUGAAAGACCGGGGCUUAACUCCGGUUCUGCAGUGGAUACGGGCAUGCUAGAGGUAGGUAGGGGAGACUGGAAUUCCUGGUGUAGCGGUGAAAUGCGCAGAUAUCAGGAGGAACACCGGUGGCGAAGGCGGGUCUCUGGGCCUUACCUGACGCUGAGGAGCGAAAGCAUGGGGAGCGAACAGGAUUAGAUACCCUGGUAGUCCAUGCCGUAAACGUUGGGCGCUAGGUGUGGGGACUUUCCACGGUUUCCGCGCCGUAGCUAACGCAUUAAGCGCCCCGCCUGGGGAGUACGGCCGCAAGGCUAAAACUCAAAGGAAUUGACGGGGGCCCGCACAAGCGGCGGAGCAUGUUGCUUAAUUCGACGCAACGCGAAGAACCUUACCAAGGUUUGACAUCACCCGUGGACUCGCAGAGAUGUGAGGUCAUUUAGUUGGCGGGUGACAGGUGGUGCAUGGCUGUCGUCAGCUCGUGUCGUGAGAUGUUGGGUUAAGUCCCGCAACGAGCGCAACCCUUGUUCCAUGUUGCCAGCACGUAAUGGUGGGGACUCAUGGGAGACUGCCGGGGUCAACUCGGAGGAAGGUGGGGAUGACGUCAAGUCAUCAUGCCCCUUAUGUCUUGGGCUGCAAACAUGCUACAAUGGCCGGUACAAUGGGCGUGCGAUACCGUAAGGUGGAGCGAAUCCCUAAAAGCCGGUCUCAGUUCGGAUUGGGGUCUGCAACUCGACCCCAUGAAGGUGGAGUCGCUAGUAAUCGCGGAUCAGCAACGCCGCGGUGAAUACGUUCCCGGGCCUUGUACACACCGCCCGUCACGUCAUGAAAGUCGGCAACACCCGAAACUUGCGGCCUAACCCCUUGUGGGAGGG
rnacentral:rRNA from 1 species